UACAGAGGCCUCGAGCGUUAGGCGGAAUCACUGGGCUUAAAGCGUGUGUAGGCGGACUUCUAAGUACCUUGUGAAAUCCCACGGCUCGCCCGUGGAACUGCUUGGUAUACUGGUCGUCUUGAGCCUUCUAGGGGCGAGUGGAACAGAUGGUGGAGCGGUGAAAUGCGUAGAGAUCGGAAAGAACACCAACGGCGAAAGCACUCUGCUGGGCCGACACUGACACUGAGAGACGAAAGCUAGGGGAGCGAAUGGG
rnacentral:rRNA from 1 species